rnacentral:rRNA from 1 species
AUACGUAGGUGGCAAGCGUUGUCCGGAAUUAUUGGGCGUAAAGCGCAUGUAGGCGGUUUGGUAAGUCGGUCGUGAAAAUGCGGUGCUUAACGCCGUAUGGCGAUUGAAACUGCUGAACUUGAGUGCAGGAGAGGAAAGGGGAACUCCCAGUGUAGCGGUGAAAUGCGUAGAUAUUGGGAAGAACACCGGUGGCGAAGGCGCAUUUCGGGAUUGUGUUUGACGCUCAAAUGCGAAAGCCGGGGUAGCGAACGGAAUGAUUUACCCCGGUAGUCCUGGCUGUAAACGAUGGGUACACGGUGUGGGAGGUAUCGACCCCUUCCGUGCCUGAGUUAACGCAAUAAGUACCCCGCCUGGGGAGUACGGCCGCAAGGCUUAAACUCAAAGGAAUUGACGGGG